AUUGAACGCUGGCGGCAUGCCUUACACAUGCAAGUCGAAUGGUAACAGGUCUUCGGAUGCUGACGAGUGGCGAACGGGUGAGUAAUGCAUCGGAACGUGCCUAGUAGUGGGGGAUAACUACUCGAAAGAGUGGCUAAUACCGCAUGAGAUCUACGGAUGAAAGCAGGGGAUCGCAAGACCUUGUGCUACUAGAGCGGCCGAUGGCAGAUUAGGUAGUUGGUGGGAUAAAAGCUUACCCAGCCGACGAUCUGUAGCUGGUCUGAGAGGACGAUCAGCCACACUGGGACUGAGAAACGGCCCAGACUCCUACGGGAGGCAGCAGUGGGGAAUUUUGGACAAUGGGCGCAAGCCUGAUCCAGCAAUGCCGCGUGCAGGAUGAAGGCCUUCGGGUUGUAAACUGCUUUUGUACGGAACGAAAAGCCCCGGGUUAAUACCCUGGGGUCAUGACGGUACCGUAAGAAUAAGCACCGGCUAACUACGUGCCAGCCGCCGCAGUAACAC
rnacentral:rRNA from 1 species